rnacentral:rRNA from 1 species
CCCUUAGAUGUUCUGGGCUGCACGCGCGCUACACUGAAGCUAUCAACACGUUUUCCCUCCCUGAGAAGGGCGGGUAACCGUUUGAAUCAGCUUCGUGGUAGGGAUCGGGGCUUGCAAUUGUUCCCCGUGAACCAGGAAUUCCUAGUAGACGCGAGUCAUAAGCUCGCAUCGAUUAAGUCCCUGCCCUUUGUACACACCGCCCGUCGCUACUACCGAUUGAACGUUUUAGUGAGGCAUUUGGACCGACGCAUCUCAGUUUAACCGCUGGUUUGUGUUGGAAAGACUUCCAAACUUGAGCGUUUAGAGGAAGUAAAAGUCGUAACA